ACAAACAAAAAAGAAAGCAUCGACAAAUAAAUUCACUUACACGCAGUUACCAGCCCACCUUUGCCCCAUUUGAUUUGAUAUCAGCCCAUGUUUCUGGAAAUAAAUUUCCAGUGAAACUACCCGUAAACACAGAAAAUGGCUUAGAGGUAGCGUAAAAUAAAUAGCUUUGAAAGUAAUACACACACAUAGUUUAAAAGAAUAUUUGUUUUUAUGCCUUGAAAACGAAACCGAAAUUGAAAUAACUUCCCCCGACGGGUGUCGCCGCUAUCGCCGCUACGUCAUUUCCUGCGUCUCGCGGCGGGCCGCCGGGAGCACAUGUGUGUGUUCUCCGUGACAUUCUUGAAGUUGUGAGUAAUUAGAUUGUUUUUUGCUGCGUUUAGGUUGUACCACCUCGUUGUUUUCGUGUACUUUUGUGCUCAUCGACGCGAAGUGAGCGUCCGGAGUGAAGGCGACGCGAUUAUGCGUGAGAAAGAAGGGCACCAGCGGCCUACGACAUCGGUGUUUCUUUGUGACAGUGUGUUUACUACGCCUACGACGGCCGUCAUUCGUGGCGAAGGAGAAAACAUCUUCCAUUCGGCCUGAACAGUGAUGAAGUGGACGUUUUGUUUUUCGGCGGAAUGCAUCGUCAACAUGGUCCAUCCACUACGUAAACGAAACGGCGUGCCCAGAGUACAGAUCGUGACAGCGCUCCGCCUUCAAACCGAGGGCCUUUUGCAAGGCGCAUGAACUGCUCAUAUAAAAGUUGCAGUCAGCAUGAAGCAAUUGCAGUCAGCGUGAAGCAAUUGCAUGGGAACCGACUGGCUGUCUUGGGCCUACACGUUGCUGAAAAGACAGUGAAGACGUCUGACCCGACAGGUAGAAAAGAAGCAGAUGGCUACAGUGAUCAAUGAAGAAAUGGCUUCAUCUAUGAUGGCUCGCCUUAGGACAUUGGAAUGGAGCUACAAAAAGGCAUCAUCAUCCUCGCCUGUGCCCUGGAACUUUGGUUUGAAUGAGACUGUUCUUCAAUGUAGAACGGCCGCAAG